GACGAACGCUGGCGGCGUGCUUAACACAUGCAAGUCGAACGGAAAGGCCCUGCUUUUGUGGGGUGCUCGAGUGGCGAACGGGUGAGUAACACGUGAGUAACCUGCCCUUGACUUUGGGAUAACUUCAGGAAACUGGGGCUAAUACCGGAUAGGAGCUCCUGCUGCAUGGUGUGGGUUGGAAAGUUUCGGCGGUUGGGGAUGGACUCGCGGCUUAUCAGCUUGUUGGUGGGGUAGUGGCUUACCAAGGCUUUGACGGGUAGCCGGCCUGUGAGGGUGACCGGCCACAUUGGGACUGAGAUACGGACCAGAAGCCUACGGGAGGCAGCAGGGGGGAAUAUUGCACAAUGGGCGGAAGCCUGAGACAGCAACGCCGCGUGCGGGAUGACGGCCUUCGGGUUGUAAACAGCUUUCGAAUGUGAUGAAGAGGGAGUGACGGUAAUGGGUAAAGAAGCACCGGCUAACUACGUG
rnacentral:rRNA from 1 species